UACGAAGGGGGCUAGCGUUGUUCGGAAUUACUGGGUGUAAAGGGUUCGUAGGCGGUGUAGCAAGUCGGGAGUGAAAUCUCUGGGCUUAACCCAGAGGCUGCUUCCGAAACUGCUGUGCUUGAGUGUGGGAGAGGCGCGUGGAAUUGCAGGUGUAGCGGUGAAAUUCGUAGAUAUUCGCAAGAACACCGGUGGCGAAGGCGGCCAACUGGUCCGAAACUGACGCUGAGGCGCGAAAGCGUGGGGAGCAAACAGG
rnacentral:rRNA from 1 species